AUCAAACGGAAGCGGAUUUCACGUGCAAUAGCGGUAGCAAUAGAAGACCCUCCAAUUAAUUGGAUGCUUCUGGGCUGACUUGGAACCAAAAGAGACAAACUCUCUUAUUGUCCUUUGUGUGCUGUAACUUUCCCAAGGUCAAUAACUCAAGAAAUCCUCUUGCCUUUCACGUGACUGUGCUGCCAGCUUGAAGGCUUUGGAGUUUGGUGGAGGAAACCACCUGUCAUUUUGCUUCAGAAACCCAAGAGAGAACUUGUGGUACAUGCCUUGCCAGCUCCCCUUUUUUUUUUGUUUGCUGUUGAUGUACCAUUGUCCAUGUCCUUUUCUUUUUCCCAGUCAUAAUAAACCAAAGAAAUAUUCAAGAGAGGGAGGAGGGGCUGUGCGAUACAGCCCCCUUUUUUUUUAUUUCAUUACUUUUUUAUCCCCCUUGUUUUGUCUUUUACUAACAAAACCCAACACACAGAACCACUUUUUCUUUUGCUCCUAUUCUUCCUCUGUUGGCUUUUUUUCGUUGGCUUGCAGGCAGCAAACACUCAUGAGGAGGCAAUUCAAUUUCCAUGCGCCCCUUUUGGUUUCGGAUGCUUCAUGCAGAAAUUUUACACAGGGACUUGUAAUUACAAGCCUUUGCUCUUUUGAUUUUGAUCCCAUGGUGGGUUCAUCUCUACAUCCAUGAUUUGAGAGAUUCUUUGCUCCUGGAAGAGCUUAUUUGGUGGUGCAUGAUGGAAUAGACUAUGCCAUAAAACAUGAUGAUUGAAAUCAUCAUGGAAGGCAAACCUGAAAACACUGCUGGAGUUCUUUGAGCGGAGCCAAGCCUCGGAGAGAUUCUUAACCUUGGUUAUGAUGAUUUCAAUCAUCAUAGCCAAGAAUUUCUGUGGAUUGAUCAAACAAACUGCUGGGUGCGGAUCGUAUCCUCGGAAUUACUUGAGCGGAGCUGUCCCUUAGAGAGAUUACUGACCCUUUUUAUGAUGAUAGAAAUCAUCAUGGCCAGGAACCCUUGAGUUGAAUGGAACCAGAAAUCUUGAGCAAAAGAAAAAUCAGAAAAU